rnacentral:rRNA from 1 species
CUUGAACGCUGGCGGCAGGCCUCACCCCUUCAAGUCGAGCGGAGCGGCGGACGGGUGAGUAAUGCCUAGGAAUCUGCCUGGUCGUGGGGGAUAACGUCCGGAAACGGGCGCUAAUACCGCCUCCUCUCCGAUGCGCCUAGGUCGGAUUAGCUAGUGGGUGGGGUAAAGGCCUACCAAGGCGACGAUCCGUAACUGGUCUGAGAGGAUGAUCAGUCACACUGGAACUGAGACACGGUCCAGACUCCUACGGGAGGCAGCAGUGGGGAAUAUUGGACAAUGGGCGAAAGCCUGAUCCAGCCAUGCCGCGUGUGUGAAGAAGGUCUUCGGAUUGUAAAGUACUUUCAGCGGGGAGGCGUUACCCGCAGAAGAAGCACCGGCUAACUCCGUGCCAGCAGCCGCGGUAAUAC